GAUGAACGCUGGCGGCGUGCCUAAUACAUGCAAGUCGAGCGAACAGACGAGGUGCUUGUUCCUAUGACGUUAGCGGCGGACGGGUGAGUAACACGUGGAUAACCUACCUAUAAGACUGGGAUAACUUCGGGAAACCGGAGCUAAUACCGGAUAAUAUAUUGAAACGCAUGGUUCAAUAGUGAAAGAUGGUAUUGCUGCACUCUAUAGAUGGACCCGCGCCGCUUUAGCGAGUUGGUAGGGUAACGGCUUACCAAGGCAACGAUCCGAAGCCGACCUGAGAGUGAUAGCGGCCACUCGGGAACUGAGACACGGUCCAGACCCCUGCGAGAGGCAGCAGUGGGGUAUCUUGCGCUAGGCGCGAGAGCCAGACGGAGCAACGCCGCGAGAGUGAUGAGGUUCUUCGGAGUGUAAAUCUCUGUUAAGAGGGAAGCACAAGUGUGUAAGGAACUAUGCACAUCUGGACGUUACCUAACCAGAAAGCCACGGCUAACUACUG
rnacentral:rRNA from 1 species